rnacentral:rRNA from 1 species
GGAUAAUCACACCCCGCACGGAGAGGUGUGGUUAGGGCUGUGGUGAAGGCGCACAAUGUGGCCAUGGCAUGUAUCCAAGAAACCAAAUUAUCUGUGGUGGACAGUAGGAUGGUGCAAGAGUGUUGUGGGGCUGAGUUUGACAAGUUUACCUUCUCUCCCGCGGACGGGACGCGCGGUGGAAUUUUACUCGCAUGG